GAAAAGACCCCCAGGAUUCGCCGUUUCUCUAAAAAGAAGAUCGAAGGAAAAUCAGCCAUCUUCUUUCAUUUUGAGAAGAGAUCAGCCAAAAAAAGGAGCUAACCUAAGAGAAGAGACUAACGCCUCAGACUUAGGCAAAAAGAGGCAGCAGCUUCUUCUUCAAACAAAAAAUGCAGAACCAAAGAUCGUGAAUAAUUCAACCCCAUUCUUCGACAUCACCCAUCUCUUAGCCGUUUCAGUUGUGAAAAGUCAUAGCUUUAACCCCAAAAUCCAACUGCAAAUAGGCUUAAAAUUAGUCCCUAAUCUCUCGCCAAAACUCCAAAAGAUUAGUGUAAAUCAGCCUGCACCACCAUGCCAACAAUUUCUUCUUCCAGCAGGGUUCAAAUGGUAUUUCGAGAGGUCUUGUUCGAAGUUCGUCGUCGUGAGUUCCGAGCGAGGUGUUUUUCCAUGGUCUUGUUUAUUUUCUCUUGUCAAAAUUAUUGAUUAAUCAAGGUUCAGAUUCAAUUUCAAGGCUGGCGUGACUCCUCCUUCUUUUAGUGUCAUACCUUGAAAUAAGAAAGAGGCUCGGACAAGUUACAAAUCCAGAUGGCCUUUUGGUUCCCGAAGGUUGAGGUGGUCGGUUUGUAGUAAGCUGGAAACUCAAGUUCCAAGGAAAAAUGAUAACUGACAUCGAAGCUGUUACAAGUGCUCAAGAGACUCGGGGUCAGAGGGUUCAACAAGAGUCUACUGUGUUU